UUAAGCGACUAAGCGUACACGGUGGAUGCCCUGGCAGUCAGAGGCGAUGAAGGGCGUGCUAAUCUGCGAUAAGCGCCGGUAAGGUGAUAUGAACCGUUAUAACCGGCGAUACCCGAAUGGGGAAACCCAGUGUGAUUCGUCACACUAUCAUUAACUGAAUCCAUAGGUUAAUGAGGCGAACCGGGGGAACUGAAACAUCUAAGUACCCCGAGGAAAAGAAAUCAACCGAGAUUCCCCCAGUAGCGGCGAGCGAACGGGGAGGAGCCCAGAGCCUGAAUCAGCAUGUGUGUUAGUGGAAGCGUCUGGAAAGGCGCGCGAUACAGGGUGACAGCCCCGUACACAAAAGCGCAUGUGCUGUGAGCUCGAUGAGUAGGGCGGGACACGUGGUAUCCUGUCUGAAUAUGGGGGGACCAUCCUCCAAGGCUAAAUACUCCUGACUGACCGAUAGUGAACCAGUACCGUGAGGGAAAGGCGAAAAGAACCCCGGCGAGGGGAGUGAAAAAGAACCUGAAACCGUGUACGUACAAGCAGUGGGAGCACAGGUUUACCUGUGUGACUGCGUACCUUUUGUAUAAUGGGUCAGCGACUUAUAUUCUGUAGCAAGGUUAACCGUAUAGGGGAGCCGUAGGGAAACCGAGUCUUAACCGGGCGUUAAGUUGCAGGGUAUAGACCCGAAACCCGGUGAUCUAGCCAUGGGCAGGUUGAAGGUUGGGUAACACUAACUGGAGGACCGAACCGACUAAUGUUGAAAAAUUAGCGGAUGACCUGUGGCUGGGGGUGAAAGGCCAAUCAAACCGGGAGAUAGCUGGUUCUCCCCGAAAGCUAUUUAGGUAGCGCCUCGUGAAUUCAUCUCCGGGGGUAGAGCACUGUUUCGGCUAGGGGGCCAUCCCGGCUUACCAACCCGAUGCAAACUGCGAAUACCGGAGAAUGUUAUCACGGGAGACACACGGCGGGUGCUAACGUCCGUCGUGAAGAGGGAAACAACCCAGACCGCCAGCUAAGGUCCCAAAGUCAUGGUUAAGUGGGAAACGAUGUGGGAAGGCCCAGACAGCCAGGAUGUUGGCUUAGAAGCAGCCAUCAUUUAAAGAAAGCGUAAUAGCUCACUGGUCGAGUCGGCCUGCGCGGAAGAUGUAACGGGGCUAAACCAUGCACCGAAGCUGCGGCAGCGACGCUUAUGCGUUGUUGGGUAGGGGAGCGUUCUGUAAGCCUGUGAAGGUGGCCUGUGAGGGUUGCUGGAGGUAUCAGAAGUGCGAAUGCUGACAUAAGUAACGAUAAAGCGGGUGAAAAGCCCGCUCGCCGGAAGACCAAGGGUUCCUGUCCAACGUUAAUCGGGGCAGGGUGAGUCGACCCCUAAGGCGAGGCCGAAAGGCGUAGUCGAUGGGAAACGGGUUAAUAUUCCCGUACUUGGUGUUACUGCGAAGGGGGGACGGAGAAGGCUAUGUUGGCCGGGCGACGGUUGUCCCGGUUUAAGCGUGUAGGCUGGUUUUCCAGGCAAAUCCGGAAAAUCAAGGCUGAGGCGUGAUGACGAGGCACUACGGUGCUGAAGCAACAAAUGCCCUGCUUCCAGGAAAAGCCUCUAAGCAUCAGGUAACAUCAAAUCGUACCCCAAACCGACACAGGUGGUCAGGUAGAGAAUACCAAGGCGCUUGAGAGAACUCGGGUGAAGGAACUAGGCAAAAUGGUGCCGUAACUUCGGGAGAAGGCACGCUGACACGUAGGUGAAGUGAUUUACUCAUGGAGCUGAAGUCAGUCGAAGAUACCAGCUGGCUGCAACUGUUUAUUAAAAACACAGCACUGUGCAAACACGAAAGUGGACGUAUACGGUGUGACGCCUGCCCGGUGCCGGAAGGUUAAUUGAUGGGGUCAGCGCAAGCGAAGCUCCUGAUCGAAGCCCCGGUAAACGGCGGCCGUAACUAUAACGGUCCUAAGGUAGCGAAAUUCCUUGUCGGGUAAGUUCCGACCUGCACGAAUGGCGUAAUGAUGGCCAGGCUGUCUCCACCCGAGACUCAGUGAAAUUGAACUCGCUGUGAAGAUGCAGUGUACCCGCGGCAAGACGGAAAGACCCCGUGAACCUUUACUAUAGCUUGACACUGAACAUUGAGCCUUGAUGUGUAGGAUAGGUGGGAGGCUUUGAAGUGUGGACGCCAGUCUGCAUGGAGCCGGCCUUGAAAUACCACCCUUUAAUGUUUGAUGUUCUAACGUGGACCCGUGAUCCGGGUUGCGGACAGUGUCUGGUGGGUAGUUUGACUGGGGCGGUCUCCUCCUAAAGAGUAACGGAGGAGCACGAAGGUUGGCUAAUCCUGGUCGGACAUCAGGAGGUUAGUGCAAUGGCAUAAGCCAGCUUGACUGCGAGCGUGACGGCGCGAGCAGGUGCGAAAGCAGGUCAUAGUGAUCCGGUGGUUCUGAAUGGAAGGGCCAUCGCUCAACGGAUAAAAGGUACUCCGGGGAUAACAGGCUGAUACCGCCCAAGAGUUCAUAUCGACGGCGGUGUUUGGCACCUCGAUGUCGGCUCAUCACAUCCUGGGGCUGAAGUAGGUCCCAAGGGUAUGGCUGUUCGCCAUUUAAAGUGGUACGCGAGCUGGGUUUAGAACGUCGUGAGACAGUUCGGUCCCUAUCUGCCGUGGGCGCUGGAGAACUGAGGGGGGCUGCUCCUAGUACGAGAGGACCGGAGUGGACGCAUCACUGGUGUUCGGGUUGUCAUGCCAAUGGCACUGCCCGGUAGCUAAAUGCGGAAGAGAUAAGUGCUGAAAGCAUCUAAGCACGAAACUUGCCCCGAGAUGAGUUCUCCCUGAGACUUAGAGUCUCCUGAAGGAACGUUGAAGACGACGACGUUGAUAGGCCGGGUGUGUAAGCGCAGCGAUGCGUUGAGCUAACCGGUACUAAUGAACCGUGAGGCUUAACCUU
rnacentral:rRNA from 1 species